GCGCUCCGGACUGGAAAAAGAGCUAAUUCCCCGGAAAAACCAGCAGGAGGCGCCGCGGCGGUGCUUUUUGGACCAAUUCUUUCAGGAUGUUUUGGAUUAUUUUCUUAACCCUGAGAUGGAUGGCUCUAAGCUACGAGGAGAAUUUUAGAUGACAAAAAUCUGUUACACUUGAGAAGUCUGAUUGUACUGCCAGCAUGAAAGUAGAAAGAAAAAGAAUGACACCAAAUGAAUUGCAGGUUCUGCAGUAUUUCUGUUUCACGGAAAGGAUAUAUUUCCUUGUGGAACCAAAGGUAGUUACAAUGAAAUCAUUCAUACCUCAGUGCUAUUCUCUUCUGCUACAAUGUAUGUGGAGACUGACUGUUGAAAUUCUUUCAUUCUCUGAUGGAAGAUCAUGCAGCCUAGUUACCUUUUUGAAGCCCACCUGACCACUUUGUCUUCACCUUCCUUCAUUUAUCAGUCUGGUUCACCCUUGUGUUAUGCCAUUGUUAUGCCAGUGUAACAUCGCUGAACUCAGACUUGUUUUGUUUUGUUUUCAAUUGAGUUAUUCUGAUUAGAAUGGAGUAACACAGUAAGGAAUCAGGGCCUAUAUGGCACUCAUCAUAUGUGCCUAUGAGCCUUAUUCCUUGCUGACCUCUUCACCUGUCUUCUCUUUCCACUUGCACAAGGCAUCUUCCUCCUUCAUUCAAAUGCCUCUACAAACUCACUGCUUCGCUACUGCUGACAAAUAUAAACCCACUUUAGUAGAAGCUGUGCAGGGGUGUGAUUUGCCUGGUUGCCUAUAAGCAGGAAAGGCUCUCCUCUCUUCUGCCUAUGUUCUGUAUGUGGUUUGUAAACCUCAUUACAUAUGACCUUAAAAGUUAUUUAUUUAGUUAGUUAUUUUAAUAUGCAUUCUAAAGUUAGGUCAAAUACAUGUUGGCAAAUCACAUUGCAGUUCUAUCCAGUUAUUUCUUUGUACAAAGACACUUCUGCUAACUCUAAGUACUCUCUUUAAUUGAUGGACUAAAUUCAGAGAUUUUCUGAUGAAUGGACAGUGUGAGAGCAAUGGUAUAAUAAUGAGCUGUCAUCAGAUAUAUUGAUUUGUGCUUAAUAUGCUUGCUCACUGGUUUUCCAGUAUGAUUGCUUACUUAUUAUAAGCUGCCUAUUCUCCCACUGAUGUUUUUCUGUUACCAUUAAUAGGAGUUGAAUAAACCAAUCUCAAUGAGAAAAAACCACCAUGAUUCACUGAGCAAUGAAUAAUAUAGUAUCACUUUUUUUAAAACAAAAAUGAAGGUAUUUCCAUGUGUCAAGACAAAUAUUAUACUCAGUGUUAAUGACUUCAUGAAAUGGUUAAUUAUGACUUCAUUAACAGGAGCAGGAUCAAUUAAUACAAUGACAUAAUAUUUAUUCAAAUACUGGAACAGUAGUGUUGAUCAUAUUUGCUGAGUAUUUGUUUUCAUAGAUUCCAAGUGCAGAAGGGACAACGGUGAUUAUCUAGUCCAACCUGUAGAACAGAGAUCAUAGAGCUUCCUCCCAAAAAAUUCCAUUUGAACUAGAGUAUAUUUUAAAAACAUCCAAUCUUGGUUUAAAACUUGUCAAUGAUAGAGAAUCCACCACAAUCCUUUGUAAAUUUUUGCAGAGGUUAAUUACCUUCGUUGUUAAUUUUGUUUGGUUGGUUUUGGUUUAACAUUUUUGAUGAGGUAGGCAUGGGAGAUUAUAGGGAUGAUGAAUUUCAUCUUUUUUUUUAAACCAGGGAUAAUCUGUUCUGUGCUUUCUUUCCUGGGGCAUGCCUGGGAUGAGAAAUCAUUUCAUUUUCCUUCACACCUUUGCAUACUACAUUCCUGCUUGUGUCUUACUAUAUAUACAUAUUUGCAUGCAAUUGCAUCAGUAUAUUUAAGAAAAUUG